GGGCCCGUGGCGCAGAUUGGCUAGCGCGUUCGGCUGAUAACCGGAAGGUCCGGGGUUCGAAUCCCCGCGGGCCCA
rnacentral:tRNA from 1 species